CAGGCCCAGCAGACAGCAUCCUGGCGAGCGUCAUAAAAGCCGACGAGGUAAAGAAGCCCAAGUCAAAGGAUCUCUCUAUCUACAGAACCCCUUCAGGGAAAUAUUACUGCUCCCCGUGUGACCUCACACUAAACUCCGAGAGUCAGUUUGCUCAACACGUAGAAUCCAAGAAACACAAGACGAAGAGAGUCAAGUAACUAGCAAUGUGAUGUGUGAUCUUCAACAGUCAAGCAGUAAAAACUAGCUUCUUGAUAGUCAUGUGAUGGCAUUACCUUGUUUGGCUUCUAUGGAAUAUAAUUUUGUUUAAUAACAAUCAAGGGGAAGAUUGACUAGGAUGUAAGUGCAAGAUAUCAUGUAGUCAUGGAGCAGCAACACUUUUUGUGUUUUCUAUCUGAAUAUGUGACACCUGGGUACACAGUGUUGGCAGGUCUAGUGUGUGCUGAACAUUCAUGAGUGGGUUUGAAUUGUUUCUUAAAAAAAAAAUCAUAUUGUAUAGCAUCUCUUUAUUAUAUGCUUAUUUAAACAUGUAGCAUAAAUUGUUGAAUAUUUGUUAAAGAAAAUGACCUUUGAUAUCCUAUGAUAUAUUAUUUUGGAAUACAUAGAUAACCUGAAGAUAUAUAAUUUUCAGCAUGUCAGAUUUUAGAUUAGAACUGUGUGAGAAUUAAAGGGGUCAGUAUUGAAAUAAUAAGGUAAUACAUAUAAGUUGUAGGACAGGCAUACAGUACUGUACUUCAUAUAAUAAUGAGAAAUAAUUUACAGUAUAUAAAAAUUGGGACACUAGAUAAUGACAUUUACAGUCAUGUGUUGUUCAGGUGCUCAAUAGUUGUUGUAGGUUCCAGAAAAUGUGAUACUAGAAUGUUAACAAUGUCUUGAUAAUACAUACCUCUUUAAACUUGUUAAUGAUGUACAGUAGAAAUUAAUGUCACAACAUGAUUUCUGACAGAUUUCGCUCACAAGUUUGAAAACACAUGACGCCUGACCCUGUGUGCUCUUACUAUGAUCUUGUAACCCGUGUGUGUAUGUUGCUGCUCGUAAGCUUACAUAAGUCACCUGAAAUAUAAAAUGGUAUUUUUUCCAAAAUUUUCUGAAUAAUAAUUCUGUGUAUGUAUUACUGUAAGAUGCAAGUAUUUGUUGUCUACUGUUUAGAGAAACAUUUUGAAAAGAGUAGCAAGUGAAAGAAAAAAAAAGCUUAAGUUUAGUUCACUGUAUGAAGCAUUUGGGGUACACAGCAUUCUCACUCAAAGCUGUGAAACAAAGGUCAUGCAUAUAUCCUUCAUCAGAUAAGUAGCUACAAAAUUUUUGUUUAGAUAUUACAGUAGAACUGUUAUGUAAUAAGUAUAGGUAAUCAUUUUCCAAAUUUUUUCCUGACACAAGUUCUUCCAUUUACUGAGUAGUAAAAAAACCACAGUACAGCUGGGGAUUGAACUUGCAGACUGGGUAACACGCUGGUCUGGAGUUUUACGACUCGCUAGCCGCGAGUUCAAUCCCCACCCGUACCCUGGUUUCUUUGCAAUCGUGUCAUUACGAUUUUGUGAGUAUUGAAUAGUAAUCUUGAUGAGUGGAACAGUUGCUACUACUGUGUUGUGCAAUAUAUUAUGUUCUUUAAUUACCUAUUUUGCUUAUUAACAAAGCUCACCCUGGUUUUAAUGCAGUAUAUGAUGAAACAACUAAGAUGAAUAUAUUACACUUCUGUGUUACUGUAAUUAAUUUUAUAUUUUUACAUUAUUCAGGGAAAUAAUUUUUUUAACACAAUAACAACAAUAACAAGUUUAUUUUAACAUGAUACAUAUUUGUACAAAGGAUUGUAACAAUUUGGUGAACAUUUUAUAUAAUUUAUAUUGUUAUUAUAGUACAGAACCCUUUCUGUAUCUCUGAAUGAUCUUUUAAAUUAUAUACAGUAUUUUUUUUUUUUUUUUUUUUUUUUUUUUGAGUCUGGGAUAAGCAAGUUCAAACAUUGGAAACAUUUUAGAAAAUUAUUAAUAUAACAAGUAUGCUAAAAUUUUGAAAGCCUUAUGUGGUGUAAAGUUUUCUUAAUAGUAAGAAACAUUUAUAAACCUGAACACAUGUUUCAGUAUCAGUGACAUUAUCAGUUACAGUGUUUGGUGUGUUCCUCAGUUUAAUGGCUACAGUAACUUACAGAAAACUGAAUGAAUAAUGCAAUUUUCCAUGUUUAGGAUAUGGAAAUUGUCAUGUUAUUAUAUUCAUGAAGCUCUAAACCCAUAUGGGUUGUACAACACCUAGCAAAUGAGAGGGAAUCAGAUUAGAUCCAAGGAACUGAAGGGUAGCUCUAAUUCCUUGGAUCAAGGCCCCUUGACAACAUGAGAGGCACCCCCCCACUUGUAGGCUUCUCAUGCUGUAUUUUGUGCAUUCAUUGUAGUUAUUCAGAAUUAAGUUACUUUUCUGUAAAAGUAUUUGCAGCUACUGUGAUAACCUAUUUAAUAAAUGCUUCAGAAUUUAAAAAUUUAAUUAUCAAGUAAGAAAAAAAGGCACAAUACCGUGACUGGAACAAUACACAAAUAACCCACACAUAGAAGAUGUCCAAGUCGGACCGAAAUGUCGUCGUAAGCUCCUCUCUUCUAUGUGCAGGUUAUUUGUGUAUUUUUAAUUAUUAAAAACUGAAAUUAUAUCAAAGAGAAAAAUGAUAAUUAAUUUUUGUAUAAUUUAAAACAGUAACUGCACAAUUAUGUAAUCAGUUAAGAUCAGAAUUUUUCCUAUAUUAUUUGCAUUGUCAAUUUCCAAAAUCAUGCAAGGUAAAAUGCAAUAAGUCUGCAACAUCUUUAUGACUUUAUUUAUAGUAUAAGGGUACUGUAGUGGUUAAGUAGGUCAUGUAUGUCAUUUUGAGCAAAAUAUGUGAAACCAUUUUCUUGCCAAAAUUGUAUUACUGUAAUAUAAUUAUCUAUUUUGCAUACAUAAAUCUUGUUCAAAAUUCAAGACAAUAUUAAUAAUAUAAGACUAUGUUAUGGUUCCCAAAAGUAUUAUACUAUUCAUGUUGUGAAAGUCACCUAUACUUGUUUUCAAUAAUUUAUUGUGUUUAAAAUAUACAAAAAUACAUGGAAUGCUUCCCUAUUUCAUAAUAUGUAA